rnacentral:lncRNA from 1 species
GGCCAGACCAGUGGCCUUGGGAAGAGCCUGGACAGGGGGGUGGGAGGUCUGGGCAUCCUGGGGCCACAUUUCCGGGCAGGGUGGGUCCGCCCAGGCUUGAGGACCAGACCCACAGACAGCGCUGGAGAUUCGGCUCUGUGGGGUCAGUGGGGAGUCCUGGAGGCACAGAUUUUUCCUAAAAGCACAGUGGAUGGACGGGGAGAGAGCCCUGGCUUGUCGGUGGGAAGAGGGCCUCCCUCUGGCUUGAUCAGAGACCAUUCUGGGGGCAGAAAGGUGGAGACUAGUAGCGCCCCCUCCCCAAGCCUGUCCUCAUAGGUCGCGCCCCCAUCCAGUCGUCGCUAAGACCCCACCCCAGCUUCAAGACCCCCUACUCGCCGAACCUCCCUCGGUAGUCCGCGGAUGCUCGCCCGCAGUCGGAGGGCGGCUCGGCCUUCGCGGCUCAGCCACUCCCCCCACGCCGAGGCCUAGGAUUCCCCCCACCCCCCAACUCCGCGCGCAGCCCCCAGGGCCCCCGCCCUGUGGGGCGGCCCAGGCCCUCCGCACGACCCCUCCCACCUCCCCCAGGGACCGGUACGAUCCCCCUCGCCCCCGGCCCCCGACUGGCCCCGAGCCCUCCCGGCUCCCGCCUCCGGCGCAGCCCCCUAGCCACCCCCGCUUCCCUCCCGGCUCAGGCCCCCUCCCCCCGCCGCCCCCGCCCCCGGGGAA